UGGGGGAUAUUGCACAAUGGGCGAAAGCCUGAUGCAGCGAUGCCGCGUGGGGGAAGAAGGUUUUCGGAUUGUAAACCCCUGUCCUUGGGGACGAUAAUGACGGUACCCAAGGAGGAAGCUCCGGCUAACUACGUGCCAGCAGCCGCGGUAAUACGUAGGGAGCAAGCGUUGUCCGGAAUUACUGGGUGUAAAGGGAGUGUAGGCGGGAUGGUAAGUUAGGUGUGAAAUACAUGGGCUCAACCCAUGGGCUGCACUUAAAACUACUGUUCUUGAGUGAAGUAGAGGUUGGCGGAAUUCCUAGUGUAGCGGUGAAAUGCGUAGAUAUUAGGAGGAACACCAGUGGCGAAGGCGGCCAACUGGGCUUUUACUGACGCUGAGGCUCGAAAGCGUGGGGAGCAAACA
rnacentral:rRNA from 1 species